CGUAGGUGGCAAGCGUUGUCCGGAUUUAUUGGGUUUAAAGGGUGCGUAGGUGGCCCUGUAAGUCAGUGGUGAAAUAUCUCAGCUUAACUGAGAGGGUGCCAUUGAUACUGCAGGGCUUGAGUACAGAUGAGGUAGGCGGAAUUGACGGUGUAGCGGUGAAAUGCAUAGAUAUCGUCAAGAACACCGAUAGCGAAGGCAGCUUACCAAGCUGUAACUGACACUGAGGCACGAAAGUGUGGGGAUCAAACAGGAUUAGAUACCCUGGUAGUCCACACUGUAAGCGUUGAUGACUCGAUGUUGGCGAUACACAGCCAGCGUCCAAGAGCAAUCGUUAAGUCAUCCACCUGGGGAGUACGCCGGCAACGGUG
rnacentral:rRNA from 1 species